UAUAUCCUGAAAUAGAAAAGCAAUUAAUGACAAAAUCCAAUGGCGUCAACAGGUAGAAAGAAAGCCUAUUUUACACUCAAGAUUAGAUCAUUAAAGGAAUAAUCUUGUAAUAUUUUCUAAUCCAGAAAAUUAGAACUUCAAGGAUGACAUUUACAAAAAUUUCUAACCAUGAGAAAUUGUUUCCAUUAAACAAGGAAACAGUCAUUCGAAGAUAAUAAAGCAGAAACAAUUUCAAAGAGUACAAAAAAAAAAAGAUUAGACUCGAGUUCAACAUCAAUGCAAUUAAGCCAAAAUUUGCUAAAGGGAAAAAUGACCUCAAGAAAGUUCUGUCCAUUCAAGGAUGCAAUGCAUUUAGUUCAAAAAAAUUGGAAAGUUAAAAGUCUAGCAAUUAAAAAUGAGUAAACUCGAAAGAAUUUCACUUUAAUAACUUACAAAAAAAAAAUAAAAAAA
rnacentral:misc_RNA from 1 species